rnacentral:rRNA from 1 species
GUGAACGCUGGCGGCGUGCUUAACACAUGCAAGUUGAACGGUAACAGGAAGUAGCUUGCUACUUUGCUGACGAGUAGCGGACGGGUGAGUAAUGCAUAGCUUACCUGCCCCAUAGACGGGAAUAGCCACUGGAAACGGUGAUUAAUACCCGAUACUCCUUACGAGGGAAAUGCUUUUGCGCUAUGGGAUGGGGCUAUGUCCUAUCAGCUUGUUGGUGAGGUAACGGCUCACCAAGGCUAUGACGGGUAUCUGGUUUGAGAGGAUGAUCAGACACACUGGAACUGAGACACGGUCCAGACUCCUACGGGAGGCAGCAGUGGGGAAUAUUGGACAAUGGGCGCAAGCCUGAUCCAGCAACGCCGCGUGGAGGAUGAAGGUCUUCGGAUUGUAAACUCCUUUUAAGAGGGAAGAUAAUGACGGUACCUCUUGAAUAAGCACCGGCUAACUCCGUGCCAGCAGCCGCGGUAAUACGGAGGGUGCAAGCGUUACUCGGAAUCACUGGGCGUAAAGCGCAUGUAGGCGGACUAACAAGUCAGGCGUGAAAGCCUAUGGCUUAACCAUAGAAUUGCGCUUGAAACUGUUAGUCUAGGGUGUGGGAGAGGCAGAUGGAAUUUCCGGUGUAGGGGUAAAAUCCGUAGAGAUCGGAAAGAAUACCUAUUGCGAAAGGCGAUCUGCUAGAACAUUACUGACGCUC